rnacentral:rRNA from 1 species
UACGUAGGCAGCAAGCGUUGUUCGGAGUUACUGGGCGUAAAGGGUGCGUAGGCGGUUGUUUAAGUUUGGUGUGAAAUCUCCCGGCUCAACUGGGAGGGUGCGCCGAAUACUGAAUGACUAGAGUGCGGGAGAGGAGAGUGGAAUUCCUGGUGUAGCGGUGAAAUGCGUAGAUAUCGUAAGGAAGACCAGUGGCGAAGGCGGGUCUCUGGACAGUUCCUGACGCUGAGGCACGAAGGUCAGGGGAGCAAACGGG